rnacentral:rRNA from 1 species
AUUGAACGCUGGCGGAAUGCUUUACACAUGCAAGUCGAACGGUAGAGGGGGCAACCCCUCGAGAGUGGCGAACGGGUGAGUAAUAUAUCGGAACGUGCCCAGUCGUGGGGGAUAACGUAGCGAAAGUUACGCUAAUACCGCAUACGAUCUAAGGAUGAAAGCGGGGGAUCGCAAGACCUCGCGCGAUUGGAGCGGCCGAUAUCAGAUUAGGUAGUUGGUGGGGUAAAGGCUCACCAAGCCAACGAUCUGUAGCUGGUCUGAGAGGACGACCAGCCACACUGGAACUGAGACACGGUCCAGACUCCUACGGGAGGCAGCAGUGGGGAAUUUUGGACAAUGGACGCAAGUCUGAUUCAGCCAUUCCGCGUGCAGGAUGAAGGCCCUCGGGUUGUAAACUGCUUUCGUACGGAACGAAAAGGUCUCUCUUAAUACGGGGGGCUCAUGACGGUACCGUAAGAAUAAGCACCGGCUAACUACGUGCCAGCAGCCGCAGUAA